CGAAAUGCGAUAAGUAAUGUGAAUUGCAGAAUUCAGUUAAUCAUCGAAUCUUUGAACGCACCUUGCGCUCCUUGGUAUUCCUUGGAGCAUGCCUGUUUGAGUAUCAUGAAAUCUUCAAAGUAAAUCUUUUGUUAACUCAAUUGGUUUCUACUUUGGUAUUGGAGGUCUUUGCAGCUUCACACCUGCUCCUCUUUGUUCAUUAGCUGGAUCUCAGUGUUAUGCUUGGUUCCACUCGGCGUGAUAAGUUAUCUAUCGCUGAGGACACUGUAAAAGGUGGCCAAGGUAAAUGCAGAUGAACCGCUUCUAAUAGUCCAUUGACUUGGACAAUACUUUUAUGAUCUGAUCUCAAAUCAGGUAGGACUACCCGCUGAACUUAAGC
rnacentral:misc_RNA from 1 species